UGCUUUGUAGCCGAGACGGUGUUUCUAACGCUUGCAGAAAGUAUGGUGUGGGAUGACAGAUGAUGCCGGCUAGACAAGGCAAGUUCUCAUGUCCUUACCACCUUUCUUCCAGAGGUCUGUUUUCUAGCACAGACUGUUCUGUAUAAUUCCUAGUAAUCUAGGAUAGUCCCCAGAAUAAACAGAGAGAAAGGCCAAGAGGAGAGCAACUAGAACACAGAGAACAGAGACAGAAUGUAGAUGGAAAGUCACCAGACUCCUCCCUCUUAAAUUCUCUAUAUAAAGUGGGUCAAAUUACUAAGAGAUCAAAUUAUGAUAAAUUAGAAUCCAAUUCUCUUUAAGCCAUAAUGAAAUGAUUUUUAAAAUUUUAUCUAUUUUAUGUGCAUGAGUAUCUUGCCUGCAUGUCUUUAUACCAUGUGUCUGCUUGGUGCCUGAAAACUUAAGAAGACAUGGUGAAUGCUCUGGGGCUGGAGUUAGGGAAUUGUAAAUCACUAUGUAAAAACUGGGAAC
rnacentral:lncRNA from 1 species